AUGAUUGUUUCGUAUAAUAAUCAUAAAACAAAAAUGUCUAACUCUAUAAUAAACCUAAACACUGAAGGAGGCUACUUUAAGGAUGACAUAAAAGAAGAAAUAUAUGAUUACAAUUUUAUGUAUAUUAAUACAAAUAUAUUAAUAAGAGCAUAUCAAAAAGAUAAAAACAAAUUAACAUUUUUAAAUAGAAGAUUAAAUUUAAUUAAAAUAGUUGGUUUUGUAAUAAAUAUAGAAGAAAAAAAAGAAUUUCUACUUUAUACUAUUGAUGACACAACUGGCUAUUUAAAAGCAAAACUACUUUUAACAUAUCCUGUUAAUAAUUUAAAAGAAAUAACAGAAAUUAUAGGAAUAGAUGACCUUGUACAAAUAUUUGGUAUAUGUAAUUUUGUUAGUUUUAAUGAAGAUUUAACUAUUUCUAUUAAUUCUAUAAAAAAAUUAAAUUCGAUCAAUUAUUUAUGUCAUCAUCAAUUAUUAGUUUUUCAUAGUUAUUUAAAAUCUGUUGAAGAAGAAAAAAAAAAAAAAAAAAUAGAAAUGGAUAGUAUUCAGAAUUUUAAUGAUGUAGAUGCUUCGCUUAAUAUUCCAAAUGAGAAUGACUAUCCGUUUUUUAAAACAUUUUUUUAAUAAAAUAUAUAUACAAGUGGGUUUAUGUACUUAUACGAUUUAGGUAUAAUAUAUAUAUAAUUUAUACAAUAUAUAUAUAUAUAUACACCCUUUUAUAUGAUUUAAGUACUUUUUUUUUUUUUUUUUUUUUUUUUUUUUUUUAUUAGUAAGCUUUAACCAUUUUGUGUUAAAAGGUACAGACUUUGAAGUAUAAAGUUUUUAUAUAAUGAUGAAAACAUACAUACAUACAUAUAUGUAUAUAUAUUAAAUUCUUUCUUUUUCAGUAUUACAAUAGCAUCAUUGUGAUAAGUUUUUUUUUUUUUUUUUUUUUCAACAUGUUUUUCAUUUAUUCCUUAAAUACAAGUUUUUAAAACGUGCUUACACUUUGUCAUUACAUUAUAAUGUAAAAAAAAAAAAUAAAUAGAUAAGUAAAAAAUAAAUGAAGAAACA
rnacentral:lncRNA from 1 species